rnacentral:rRNA from 1 species
GACGAACGCUGGCGGCGUGCUUAACACAUGCAAGUCGAGGGGCAGCAUGAUUGUAGCAAUACAAUUGAUGGCGACCGGCAAACGGGUGCGGAACACGUACACAACCUUCCAAUAAGUGGGGAAUAGCCCAGAGAAAUUUGGAUUAAUACCCCGUAACAUAACGAUGUGGCAUCACAUUGUUAUUAUAGAUUUUUCGCUUAUUGAUGGGUGUGCGGCUGAUUAGAUAGUUGGCGGGGUAACGGCCCACCAAGUCUACGAUCAGUAGCUGAUGUGAGAGCAUGAUCAGCCACACGGGCACUGAGAAACGGGCCCGACUCCUACGGGAGGCAGCAGUAAGGAAUAUUGGACAAUGGACGCAAGUCUGAUCCAGCCAUGCCGCGUGAAGGAUUAAGGUCCUCUGGAUUGUAAACUUCUUUUAUAAGGGACGAAAAAAGGCUUUUCUAAGUCGUCUGACGGUACCUUAUGAAUAAGCACCGGCUAACUCCGUGCCAGCAGCCGCAGUAAGAC